AUAGGAGUCGAGGAGGGGAGUUAGAGAAAUGAGAAACCUUCAAAGAGACGUAGAAAGAGGGUGAAACAACAACUGAGGAACUCUUAUGGUUAAAAAAUGACCACAAAGUAAAAGCAACGAGUUUAGAGACAGAGUCUUUAACCUGAUGUAAAUAUAUUGAACAUGUUCUCACAAAUGCACAACUUUCUACCGUGAUAUCUUGUUUUAAUAAUUACUUUAUCACUUUAUUUUUGCUGUUUUAUUAUUUAAAUUAGUAUUCUAUUUGAUCUUUUUAACUCUGACUCUGUUUCUGCUCUAAAAGGCUGAAUUUCCCCAAGGGAAAAAACAAAGUUCCAUCUUAUCCUAAAACUCACCGGCUGUCAACACGAGUUGAACACAGCAUUUUUACAUUUAUCCGAGUGAGACCUCUCCACGAUGACCUCACCUGACCCCAUGCUGCUCCUCACCCUCUGAAGAAGAGGGUGAUGUCGGGGGUCAUCGGGCCCGAGGGGCUGGUGACGCUGCUGGAGGGGGCGGGGCAUCAGCUGGUUUUGAUUGACAGCCGGCCCUUCGUGGACUUUAACUCCGCCCACAUUCUGGAGGCCGUCAACGUGAACUGUUCGAAACUCAUGAAGAGGAGAUUAAUGCAGGAGAAGGUGACCAUCAGAGAACUGCUGACAAACAGCUGCAGCCACCAGUUGUACCUCCAGGGAGAUGUGGAGGUUGUGGU